CCUGGCUCACGAUGAACGCUGGCGGCGCGCCUAACACAUGCAAGUCGAACGAGCGAGAGAGAGCUUGCUUUCUCGAGCGAGUGGCGAACGGGUGAGUAACGCGUGAGGAACCUGCCUCAAAGAGGGGGACAACAGUUGGAAACGACUGCUAAUACCGCAUAAGCCCACGGCUCGGCAUCGAGCAGAGGGAAAAGGAGCAAUCCGCUUUGAGAUGGCCUCGCGUCCGAUUAGCUAGUUGGUGAGGUAACGGCCCACCAAGGCGACGAUCGGUAGCCGGACUGAGAGGUUGAACGGCCACAUUGGGACUGAGACACGGCCCAGACUCCUACGGGAGGCAGCAGUGGGGAAUAUUGCACAAUGGGGGAAACCCUGAUGCAGCGACGCCGCGUGGAGGAAGAAGGUCUUCGGAUUGUAAACUCCUGUUGUUGAGGAAGAUAAUGACGGUACUCAACAAGGAAGUGACGGCUAACUACGUGCCAGCAGCCGCGGUAAAACGUAGGUCACAAGCGUUGUCCGGAAUUACUGGGUGUAAAGGGAGCGCAGGCGGGAAGACAAGUUGGAAGUGAAAUCCAUGGGCUCAACCCAUGAACUGCUUUCAAAACUGUUUUUCUUGAGUAGUGCAGAGGUAGGCGGAAUUCCCGGUGUAGCGGUGGAAUGCGUAGAUAUCGGGAGGAACACCAGUGGCGAAGGCGGCCUACUGGGCACCAACUGACGCUGAGGCUCGAAAGUGUGGGUAGCAAACAGGAUUAGAUACCCUGGUAGUCCACACUGUAAACGAUGAUUACUAGGUGUUGGAGGAUUGACCCCUUCAGUGCCGCAGUUAACACAAUAAGUAAUCCACCUGGGGAGUACGACCGCAAGGUUGAAACUCAAAGGAAUUGACGGGGGCCCGCACAAGCAGUGGAGUAUGUGGUUUAAUUCGACGCAACGCGAAGAACCUUACCAAGUCUUGACAUCCCUUGACGAUGCUGGAAACAGUAUUUCUCUUCGGAGCAAGGAGACAGGUGGUGCAUGGUUGUCGUCAGCUCGUGUCGUGAGAUGUUGGGUUAAGUCCCGCAACGAGCGCAACCCUUAUGGUCAGUUACUACGCAAGAGGACUCUGGCCAGACUGCCGUUGACAAAACGGAGGAAGGUGGGGAUGACGUCAAAUCAUCAUGCCCUUUAUGACUUGGGCUACACACGUACUACAAUGGCGUUAAACAAAGAGAAGCAAGACCGCGAGGUGGAGCAAAACUCAGAAACAACGUCCCAGUUCGGACUGCAGGCUGCAACUCGCCUGCACGAAGUCGGAAUUGCUAGUAAUCGCAGAUCAGCAUGCUGCGGUGAAUACGUUCCCGGGCCUUGUACACACCGCCC
rnacentral:rRNA from 1 species